UAGAGGACUAAAAGUAGUUUAAAAUAAAACUAAGAACAAAUUAAACUUUAGUAAACUAAAAGACAAAAUAAAUUAAAUAAAAAUAAAUUCUCAAUUAAAACAAAUACAGGCUGUUUGAAGGUGGUUAGAAAUCAAGUUUAAAAUUAUUUAGUGACACCAGUGAGUGUGCUGUAGUGAUUUUCAGCAUUUCCCCCCCAAAAAAGGCUUAUAUAUUUGGUACGUGAUAUUAUUCUGUGUUUAAGCAAAUUGGUACAUUUUUAUGUAUGAAAAUUUCAGGUACUUUUUUUGAUAGCGCACUUGUACUUUUACUCAAGUCUGUGUCUCUAGAUUUUCAUACAGGUCUGGAAAUGUAUAAGUUUCACUUUUUCUAGAAUUAAAUUAAUGAAAUAAAUUAACUUUAUCUUGGUGAUAUUACAUUUUUAAAGAUGCACCUGUAAUGGAAUCUAAUGUUAAAAGCAUUGUAGCUUUGAGAAUAUAGGUUUGCUUUUUAUUGAUAGGCCAUGUACAGAAUUGGUUAAUAUAAACAUUAUGAACUUUAGAAUAUAGAAAUGCAUGAGGAAAUAUCUGAAGAACAUUUUGCUUCUGUAGGUGGCACUGUAGGUCCAAAAAUAUCCUCACUGAGAUUUUUUUUUUAUUAUUGCUUUCAAUUUUAGCGUUGUCUCAGGACUGAGUGUUUGGUAUUUAUUGCAGUUUGUUUAAUGUAAUCUAAUACUAAAACGCUGUGAUGGGUCUGUUGUAGAUAUCUGGGCAGUAAGUACAUGGGAAUAAGUUGAACUUGACUGGUAUAAACAUGACCAGACGGUUGCGUCCGAAAUCGCGUCAUACUUCAACGUCAUGCGAAAUCGGGUAGUGUGUCUAGGCCAGGCUUUUAUUUCAGUUUUGAGCCUGGUAAGGUCAGUUUCACUUACCUUCUUCAUUUACAGAGAGGACAUGCCCAUAUUAUUACUCCAGACCAGGUUACUUCAGAUGAACACACUCCUGUUUUUUAUUUUCUUUGGAGGAACAACAUUGCAACUUGUGAAGUGUUUCAGUGAUGGCAAUUUUGAUGAAAUGCAAGACAUAUGUAAAACAAUGGACGCUAAUCAUGCUGACCAUCCCCUUGUCCCUGAUGGAAGCAACUUUCCAUUUACAAUUACUCCUAGCUUUUGCCGUGCCACAGAUACCACCACACCUCAUACAGUGACACUCGGGACUACAGGGCAACCUUUUGUUGGUUUCAUGUUGGAGGCAAGAGAUUAUAAGGACGAUAAUCCAAUGGGUGUAUUCUCUUUGUUGGAUACAGCUCAGAGCAGAUUACAGAUUUGUUAUGAGACUAAUAGUGCAGUUACUCAGGUAGAUAACCAACCUAAGACUGAAGUAAAGGUCAACUGGACUGCUGACCAAACUGGAUAUUAUACCUUUGUAGUUACAUUUAUUGGGUCUAAGAUUUCUUGGAAAAGAACAGCAUUUAUUCCUAUUCCAACAUCUGGCCCUGCAACAGGUACAACAACAGCGUACACUACUAUACCAUCUACCAAUGUUUUCUCUACAUCCACCGUUAUGUCGCUACCUACAUCUCAGCACACAUCAUAUUCUACUGAACCACAGGACAGCAAUACUGAUACUGAAACCUUAACAUUUACAUACAAUCAUACACAAUGGUUUACAACACAGGACACUACUAUAAUAUCUAGCCCUGUUUUUUCUACAUCCACCAUUACCUCACUACCUACAUCUCAGCAUACUUCAUAUUCUAGCGAACCACAGGACAGCACUACUGUUACUGAAGCCUCAACAUCUAUAUCUGAUCCUACAAAAGGAUCGACAACACAGGACACUACUA
ensembl:lncRNA